UGGGCCGGCUGAUCAGGAUAACUCUUAUCAUGUGUGAAAUUAGUUUUGGUACAGUUUAGGAGUAGUGUCGAUGGGCCAGCUGAUCAGGAUAACUCUUAUCAUGUGUGAAAUUAGUUUUGGUAUAGUUUAGGAGUAGUGUCGAUGGGCCAGCUGAUCAGGAUAACUCUUAUCAUGUGUGAAAUUAGUUUUGGUACAGUUUAGGAGUAGUGUCGAUGGGCCAGCUGAUCAGGAUAACUCUUAUCAUGUGUGAAAUUAGUUGUGGUAUAGUUUAGGAGUAGUGUCGAUGGGCAAGCUGAUCAGGAUAACUCUUAUCAUGUGUGAAAUUAGUUUUGGUACAGUUUAGGAGUAGUGUCGAUGGGCCAGCUGAUCAGGAUAACUCUUAUCAUGUGUGAAAUUAGUUUUGGUACAGUUUAGGAGUAGUGUCGAUGGGCCAGCUGAUCAGGAUAACUCUUAUCAUGUGUGAAAUUAGUUUUGGUACAGUUUAGGAGUAGUGUCGAUGGGCCAGCUGAUCAGGAUAACUCUUAUCAUGUGUGAAAUUAGUUUUGGUAUAGUUUAGGAGUAGUGUCGAUGGGCCGGCUGUGAAGGUUGACUGCUAUUAUUUGUUUCCCGCUCAUCAACUUGGACAGAGUCCAGGACAUGUUUUACAUCACUCUAAAGGCCUACUGUAACUCAUAGCAUGUGUUCAUUUCCUUACAAUACAUGUGAUUAGUGUUCGAGUUACAGUCAAUAAAACAGACCCACAACAGUUGAUUUGUGGAAAGUAAAACAUAAAAGAGAAUAUUAUUAACCCACAAGGGGGUGUGGUCAAAUGAUUUGCUGCUGAUAAAUAGGCAUAACACAAACUCAUCAUUACACUUUUGUCUUUCUACAUUACAUCAACCCCUUCAUCCUUCUUAUCAUUCAGUUAGGCCUCAUUUGGGGACGACAGGUAACCUAGUGGUUAGAGUGGAGGGGCGGCAGGUAGCCUAGUGGUUAGAGUGUAGAGGCGGCAGGUAGCCUAGUGGUUAGAGUGUAGAGGCGGCAGGUAGCCUAGUGGUUAGAGUGUAGAGGCGGCAGGGAGCCUAGUGGUUAGAGUGGAGGGGGCAG
rnacentral:lncRNA from 1 species